CAUUUGCUCGCACCAGAAUCUAAUCAAUGCCUUGAUGUAAUAAGCAUGCUCCAAUAACAUAUUAUUCAUUGCCUCAGUACAAAAAUAAACUUCUCUAUGAUUUAAACUAAAGAUGAGGAGAUUUCAAGGCCAUGGACCCCUGCAUCUUCUCUUUUUGUUUUGUUUGGUGAAAGUGUGAGCCAUCCAUCAGAAUCCACUUUCCCACCUGCAUACGUAUAUUUGCUCCCACAAAGUGACCCUUCUUGUGGAUGUGCGCUUCCUCAAAAAUCUGUGAUUUGGAUCUCAUAGAAGAAAACAGCUGUCAUUAAGCUUUCUCAUUAAUACCCACCUUAUAUUCUGUCCUAGAAACAGAGGGGGUUUAUCUUAAACAGUGUGAACAUGUUCCAAGACUAUACUGUUAGUGUUGAAAUAGAUGUAGUUAACUUGUUAAAGCAGUCAAACUGCAAUCUUGGAUCUCCUUUUCAGCUCUAUCUAACUUAUGGUAGAUAUGGGAUUCCUUUUUCUCAGCGCAUCUCUAUCUGAACUUGUUGAUUAUGUUCAGAUGUGAUGAAAAGAACUCUCGUGCUUGCAGGUAGUCUUCAAGCGUCGCGUUACCGGUGUCCUCUUUGUCCUUGAAGAGUACAACCCAACAAAAAUGGGUCCCGUACUUUAGUUCCUGUGAAGAAACUGGACCAGGUGAUGCAGCGCUAGAAGUGUUUCACCACCUAUGGACACCCCACCACUUAACGAACUUAAAAACUUAAUUUGAUUGAAAUAGGGUCAAUGAAAGCUUCAUUUCAGAGUCUGGUGAAAGAAUUGGAUAAAAAGUGAGUCUUGCUGAGUUUGAGAAAUUGUGAUCCCAAAGCGAGCUCUAAAUUAGAGAGAGAGAGAGAAUAGGAGGGUUACAGUGAAAGUAAAAGGUGAAAACUUUUUGUUAUCAUAAUCAGAUGGGGUUUUGAACCUGAUCUUGAUGUAAUGUUAACUGUGUGAGUAUGUGAACGAGCGCUUCCCAUUCACCAGUCUCUAUUUUCAGUUUGCCAGGUGUUGGGAACAUUCCUUUAAACUCUUCUGCAUUAAAUGAUAUUGACGUGACCAUUUGGGUCUUGAGAUUGAACAGUAUGUUUUCACAAUUGAAGAAAUCAUUCGACCCGACUAGCUUCUGAUUGUUUCUUACGUGGAAUACACAGAUGGUCAUAACAGCAUCCGAGAUAAUUCCUUUCUGCAACUCCAUAGUGGAUAAAGAAAGGUUUGAAAAGAUGUUAACAGACGUUAAAGAAGCAUUAUUCUUAUUUAAAUUUAUUUUGGUAAGACCAAAAUAAAGCAUAAAUCGAGUGGCAACACUUCUGGAGAGCUGACUGCCCUAAAAUCCUGUUUUGAGUUUGAAAUUACUAAAGAGGGCAAUUAACAAAAACAGAGAAUGGAUUAUCUUGGAACAAAAAGUUUCCUCCGCAUCUUGGUAUGAGGAGUUUAUUAAAGGAAGACAUGGCAAAAGUUUUAUCAAGACCGGUUUUCAGAUCACCACCAUUUAAUGACGGGUUCUUAGCUGCAGCAUUAGCUCUCCCCAGCACUUUUGGCUCUCUCUAAGAAAAUCCUUCUGCACCAGUCUUCUGUCCUGCACCAGUGUGCAAGACUCGCCUGUUACCUUUAUUUCUUUCGCCAAGUUUUCUUUGACGCCGUGGGACCAAAUUAAGUUGUGGGUCCUAAUGCGAUACAGGCAACCACGCAGGGGAUGAAGAAUUUGAUGUAAUGCAACUUUGAAACUAGGAAGUCUAUAUACUGGAUGAGCUUUGCAGGGGAUGAAGUGUUGUAGUAUAAUGUCAAAGUCAAUUGCAGAAUUUCAACAUCAGAGUGACAUAGUUCAGGAAAGAGUACAAACAUGGUAGUGUUGUUUGGUUUCCAGAGUACUUCGACUUCGUAAUGGAGAAAUAAGUUCCUGAUGCCCUGGACGUUCAUCAUGUAUUUUCAGAAGGUGGAGGGGAUCAUUGUGAAAUAUGAAAAUUUAUGACCAACUUUUUUAGGAGCUUUCAUAUUGGCAUUGGAAGUUAGACUUGCGAAAAUUUAUGGCAUCGCUUGCGAAUGACUGCUUCUGAAGAGCUCGCUUUUCUCAUGCUCUCGCAAUUCAUUCCUUCUAUCUUUACAGUGAUCAGCUAGCUAGUUCAUCAUGUACCUCCCCAAUUGAUCUUAAGUAGCUAGCUCUCUGUAUUGUGCUUUAGAUUCAUUAAAGGAAGUACAGCAGUUUUUGCAAUCUCUUUAUUGUGUAGGUUAAGCCCCAACUGAAGUUGGCGUUGCUUGUCCUGGUUAUUAAAUGAGUUUUGUUUAGUUCA